rnacentral:lncRNA from 1 species
AUAUUUAUUACAAACCGCAAAUGACAGUACUUAAUUGUUGAAUAUUUAUUGCAGACUACAAAUGAGACUCACAAUUUUAUGAAAAUUAUAACAAAACAAAUUUCUUAUGUCACGACCCGAUACUCCCCUCGAACUCGUGACAACCGCCGCGGUGUCCCGAUAGACACUCAUCACCCGAAAUGCCAAUCGAAACCCCGUAAGGCUUUAAUAUCAGUUUCUCAUUUCCCCUGUGAGUAACAGUUGCCAAAUAUCACGUUCUAGAAGAUUUUAAACUAUUUUCAACUUAAAACAAUAAAAUAAAUAAAAAAAUAAAAAAAAUAAUUUUCAUCUCAUAGGGGUAUUUUGGUCAUUUUUCUUGAAAAUUUCAAUACCAGCUAAUAAUGUAGUAUAUAAGUGCAUAACACAUAUUUCAAAAUCGAAAAUAAAUUUAGAUGUUUAAAAUAUUCGUUUAAAGUGAAAUUAUGACUGUUAGAAUAAAAUAAAAAUAUUAAAAAAAUAUUUAAUUUUCUCAUAAAAUAAUAUUUUUAAAACACUGCAUAAAUAAUUUCUACAGCGUAAAAGCAAAAUAAAUUCAUAUAUAUUGUAAUACAGUAAGUCAGAGUAUUUAAUUUAAUUUACAGUAACAAGUGGGCCCUCGAAUAACCAAAAAUAAGAAAGAUUGUGAACCUAUAGUUUGGAAGAUGCAAAUCCAAUGGUGGUCAUCGAUGAAAUCAGCUAUCUAUAGACUAUCCUGAGCUUGAAAUGGGUGGAAAGGAGAGUGGUGAGAUUAUAUAAUCCCAGUGAGUAAACAAAUACCAUCUAAAAUAUCUAAAGCUGAGUAAAUAGAGACAGAUAAAACAGUUUAACAUACUAUAAUUCAUCACCUUACAACUUGUUUCAACCAAAUAAAAUCCAUUCAUAUAAAUCGAGUAAUCAACAUGGCUUAUGAAUUUCUUAAAAGCUUGGCUCAUGCCAAAAUCAUUUUUGUACCCAGUUAUCAGGGAUGCCUUGAUCAAGGGCUAUCCCAAUCAAGUCCGUCAAGGUUGUUAAAAAGUUAUGUACGCAUAAAUCAUGUUUUUAUUUUAAAAAUAUAGUCGUUCCUUGGCGUUAGCGGAGUUCAUCAUCACGAGGUGGUUUGGUGUGAAGUGAACUCUAAAGUUAUACCUCGGGAGUUACCUUACUCUCCUCUCCAAUGAGGUAUGAAUAUGACUAAGUUCCGUGCCCCUCUAAUAGGCUGAUCCAUAGAACCAGCCCACUACAGCAAGCUAAACCCACCAUACAAUAAAAUUUGCAAUAACAUGACAUGGUAAUUAUUUUAUUUUAUUUUACAGCCUUUCAAGGUAAAUCAACAAUUUAUACAUUUCCAACACAUUUAUCAAAUCAACCAUUCAUGCCAAUAUUUCCAGAAGCCAAUCAAUUAGAAUCAUGAAUUUACAACACACAAAAAUAGUAUCCAAUUACUCUAUUUCCAAACCAUCAUUCAAAUUUAAAACAAUUUUAUAAAAUCUUUUUCAUUAAAUCACAUUUUGUUUAUAAAACCGAAAAAUUAAUCAUUUAAUUCAUUUUUCAUAAAAUUCACAAAAUCGAAUAAAACUACUUUAGAUAAUUAAGACGAUAGUAAGGUUACUCACUAUUUCGGGAGUCAAAUUCCAAAUACUCUGAUUCUUGAUCCUCGGAUACUAUCUCUUUACUUUUGCCAAAAUGCUCACCAUCUAGACAUAAUGCAUAAUAAGCCAUUUACUACAUUUGUGCUAAAUUGUUAUAAAACCAAUUCAGGUUUUAUACUAAUGUAUGAAAUGGGAUGCAAAUUAUUCAGAUUAUUGUCUAAACAUGGUGUUCUACACAAAUUCAAUUGUGUACCUAAAUUAAACAGUAUUGGCCUAAUUCGAUCUAUCACUCGAUUAAUUGAUCAAUACGUCCAAUUCAACUCCAAAUAAUUUCAUUUUUCUCCCAAUACUCCAAAUCAUCAAACACAAAUUAAAUAACUUGAAAUAUGGCAAAAUCAUCCUCACAUUUUCUCUUGAAAAAUUCAGCCAUGAUGGGUGCAUCAACACUAUAAUUUUUCCUACUUGAUCCUCACACCACAAAUCACUAAUUCCUAACCAAAUCACUUGAAAUAAAAUCAAAAUUAUCCUUAAUAUUCCACAUGGAGAAUUCGGCCAAUGAUGGGUGAUGGAAGAACAUGAAUUUUUCUUACUUGAUUUUCAUGCUACACACCACUAACUAACUAAAAACACUAAAAUAUCUUAAAAUCUAACCAAAUCAAGCAUCAAAACUUCUCUCUAAAUGUUCAGCCAGCAAGAUACCCAUCAUGAAAUCAUGUGAUUCAACCAUGAAAAAUGCAAAAGAAUGCAUGGAAAAGGUGGAUCACAAGUCAAAAUCAAGAAAUUUUACCUUUGAUUGCUUGAUUACUUGAAUUUUCACACUUUUCCCUUGAAUUUUUUCACCUAGGGUUUUUGUUCUUCUUUUCUUCCUUUGUUCUUGCUAUGGCCGGCCAUGAGAAAUGAGUUAGGAGAGUUUAUGUGCUGAUUUUUAAGCUAAAUAAUAAAUGGAUGAGAUUUUGACACAUGUCACCAUUCC